CCCUUAGAUGUUCUGGGCCGCACGCGCGCUACACUGACGAAUGCAACGAGCUUAUAACCUUGGCCGAAAGGUCUGGGUAAUCUCCAAAUUUCGUCGUGAUGGGGAUAGAUUAUUGCAAUUAUUAAUCUUCAACGAGGAAUGCCUAGUAAGCGCAAGUCAUCAGCUUGCGUUGAUUACGUCCCUGCCCUUUGUACACACCGCCCGUCGCUCCUACCGAUUGAAUGGUCCGGUGAAGCGCUCGGACCGCGGCCUCUUGACGGUUUUCCGUCGAUUGGCUGUGGGAAGUUCGUUAAACCUUAUCACUUAGAGGAAGGAGAAGUCGUAACA
rnacentral:rRNA from 1 species